rnacentral:rRNA from 1 species
UACGUAGGGACCGAGCGUUGUCCGGAAUCAUUGGGCGUAAGGAGCGUGUAGGCGGCUAUUUAAGUCCUGCGUGAAAUCCUGCGGCUCAACCGCAGACGGUCGUGGGAAACUGGAUGGCUAGAGUGCGGGAGAGGAGAGUGGAAUUCCCGGUGUAGCGGUGAAAUGCGCAGAUAUCGGGAAGAACACCCGUGGCUAAGGCGGCUCUCUAGUACCGGUU